rnacentral:lncRNA from 1 species
GUGGACAUGGCGAGCUCCGACUGUGAGGACCAUGCGGGUCAGGAGGGGGAGACGUUCCUGUACUUCGCCUACGGCAGCAAUCUGCUGACCGAGAGGAUCCACCUGCGAAACCCUUCCGCCGUGUUCUGCUGCGUGGCGCGCCUGCAGGUCAGUGCCGUUGUGCCCGAUACCCGGAGAGCAGGCUAGCUGCGACCCCUGCCCGGAACCGCUGGCCACCAUCGGAGUUCGCAGCCCUCCACUGGCUGCCCCUUUCCACAGACUUCGAGCAUCCUGUAAGGACUUUAAGCUCGACUUCGGCAAUUUCCAAGGCAAAAUGAGUGAGAGGUGGCACGGAGGUAUAGCUACCAUUUUUCAAAGUCCUGGCGAUGAAGUGUGGGGAGUAGUAUGGAAAAUGAACAAAAGCAAUUUAAGUUCUCUGGAUGAGUAGGUGACUUCUAAUUACCAGUUACAAUAAUAAGUAAUCCAAAGCGGGCUGUCGGAAUGCGCGUUGGUGACCACACUGUAGAGACACUCCAUUCUUCAGAGUCGGUUCAGUAGUUAGAAACCAGCAGUCUGCUAACCAACCUAGAAGGGGACGGUCACACUCACUCAUUAGACGGGGGCGAUGCUUGUCUCUCUGAGGUAAAAAAAAAAAAAAAAAAAUGAAAG